AUUGAACGCUGGCGGCAGGCCUAACACAUGCAAGUCGAACGAGUGGCGGACGGGUGAGUAAUGUCGGGGAAACUGCCCGAUGGAGGGGGAUAACUACUGGAAACGGUAGCUAAUACCGCAUACCAUCGGAUGUGCCCAGAGGGGAUUAGCUAGUAGGUGGGGUAACGGCGCACCUAGGCGACGAUCCCUAGCUGGUCUGAGAGGUUGACCAGCCACACGGGAACGGAGACACGGUCCAGACUCCUACGGGAGGCAGCAGUGGUGAAUAUGGCACAAUGGGCGCAAGCCUGAUGCAGCCAUGCCGCGUGUAUGAAGAGGGCCUUCGGGUUGUAAAGUACUUUCAGCGAGGAGUCGUUACUCGCAGAAGAAGCACCGGCUAACUCCGUGCCAGCAGCCGCGGUAAUUC
rnacentral:rRNA from 1 species